rnacentral:rRNA from 1 species
ACGGGUGAGUAACACGUGGUCAACCUUCCCUACAGUGGGGGAUAACUAGCCGAAAGGUUAGCUAAUACCGCAUAACAUCUACGAGUGGCAUCACAUGUAGAUCAAAGGAGCAAUCCGCUGAAGGAUGGGACCGCGCCCGAUUAGUUAGUUGGUGGGGUAAUGGCCUACCAAGACUCCGAUCGGUAGCUGGUUUGAGAGAGCGACCAGCCACACUGGGACUGAGAAACGGCCCAGACUCCUACGGGAGGCAGCAGUGAGGAAUUUUCCGCAAUGGGCGAAAGCCUGACGGAGCGACGCCGCGUGUGGGAAGAAGGCCUUCGGGUCGUAAACCACUGUCGAAGGGGAAGAUAAUGACGGUACCCUUGGAGGAAGCCCCGGCUAACUACGUGCCAGCAGCCGCGGUAAGACGUAGGGGGCGAGCGUUAUUCGGAAUUAUUGGGCGUAAAGCGCUCGUAGGCGGGACCGAAAGUCGGUGAGGAAAGACCUGGGCUCAACUCAGGGAACUGCAUCGAUACUUCGGUUCUUGAGGUAAUCAGAGGGUGAUGGAAUUCCCGGUGUAGCGGUGAAAUGCGUAGA